rnacentral:rRNA from 1 species
AUUGAACGCUGGCGGCAGGCUUAACACAUGCAAGUCGAGCGGGGUGAUGGUGCUUGCACUAUCACUUAGCGGCGGACGGGUGAGUAAUGCUUAGGAAUCUGCCUAUUAGUGGGGGACAACAUCUCGAAAGGGAUGCUAAUACCGCAUACGUCCUACGGGAGAAAGCAGGGGAUCACCUGUGACCUUGCGCUAAUAGAUGAGCCUAAGUCGGAUUAGCUAGUUGGUGGGGUAAAGGCCUACCAAGGCGACGAUCUGUAGCGGGUCUGAGAGGAUGAUCCGCCACACUGGGACUGAGACACGGCCCAGACUCCUACGGGAGGCAGCAGUGGGGAAUAUUGGACAAUGGGGGGAACCCUGAUCCAGCCAUGCCGCGUGUGUGAAGAAGGCCUUAUGGUUGUAAAGCACUUUAAGCGAGGAGGAGGCUCUUUUGGUUAAUACCCAAGAUGAGUGGGCGUUACUCGCAGAAUAAGCACCGGCUAACUCUGUGCCAGCCGCCGCGGUAA